CAAAACAUAGCUUAACCAAAGCCCCUCGCUUACACCGAGAAAAUGCCUGCAAAACCCAGACUGUUUUGA
rnacentral:tRNA from 1 species